rnacentral:sRNA from 1 species
GCGCCCGCUUCUCCCGCUUUACGGCUGCUGAAAACCCGGCCCGGCAGCCGUACCGCAGAUGAGCCCGCGCCCGCGCCGCUCAGUUUUCUGAAAGGGAACCUUGUAAGAUCAGUUAUGGGCUAUGAUGAAACCAUUUUAAGUCUCUGUUCUUUGCCAAGCUCCAAGGUCUAUGAAAUCUGAUGGUGUAGGAAAUGCUCAUCCAGUAUCCGCAGUGCUGUUUAAAGAGAAAAGGCCCAGUGUAAUUUUGGCUUAUUUUACAUCAAAAAUCACCUCCAUCAAAGCAGAGAUCAAUGAUGAUUAACAUGAAUAUUCUGAAGUUUGUAUCUACAUCUCUUAUACAAAUGCAUUUUGUUUAAGCUUUCCCAUAAUAAAGAUCUCCCAGCUGGACGUUCAAAAUAGCUUUUGAUGUCUUAGGGCGUCUUUUAUUCAACCCUAGCUAUUAAAGGAAACU